AGGUAGUGAGAACCUCAGGGGAUUCGAGCCGGGGACCCACCUCGAACCAUGGGGUGAAUCCCAAAGGGAAAUCCCGGAGGGUAGGAAGUCUUCCAUUCUUCCGAACCCGUCAGCUAACCCGGUCGGCUAAACAGGAAGAUUUU
rnacentral:sRNA from 2 species